rnacentral:rRNA from 1 species
GAUGAACGCUGGCGGCGUGCCUAAUACAUGCAAGUCGAGCGAACGGACGAGAAGCUUGCUUCUCUGAUGUUAGCGGCGGACGGGUGAGUAACACGUGGAUAACCUACCUAUAAGACUGGGAUAACUUCGGGAAACCGGAGCUAAUACCGGAUAAUAUUUUGAACCGCAUGGUUCAAAAGUGAAAGACGGCCUUGCUGUCACUUAUAGAUGGAUCCGCGCUGCAUUAGCUAGUUGGUAAGGUAACGGCUUACCAAGGCAACGAUGCAUAGCCGACCUGAGAGGGUGAUCGGCCACACUGGAACUGAGACACGGUCCAGACUCCUACGGGAGGCAGCAGUAGGGAAUCUUCCGCAAUGGGCGAAAGCCUGACGGAGCAACGCCGCGUGAGUGAUGAAGGUCUUCGGAUCGUAAAACUCUGUUAUUAGGGAAGAACAUAUGUGUAAGUAACUGUGCACAUCUUGACGGUACCUAAUCAGAAAGCCACGGCUAACUACGUGCCAGCAGCCGCGGUAAUACGUAGGUGGCAAGCGUUAUCCGGAAUUAUUGGGCGUAAAGCGCGCGUAGGCGGUUUUUUAAGUCUGAUGUGAAAGCCCACGGCUCAACCGUGGAGGGUCAUUGGAAACUGGAAAACUUGAGUGCAGAAGAGGAAAGUGGAAUUCCAUGUGUAGCGGUGAAAUGCGCAGAGAUAUGGAGGAACACCAGUGGCGAAGGCGACUUUCUGGUCUGUAACUGACGCUGAUGUGCGAAAGCGUGGGGAUCAAACAGG